AGAGUUUGAUCCUGGCUCAGAACGAACGCUGGCGGCAGGCUUAACACAUGCAAGUUGAACGGGAUUGUUAAGUAGCUUGCUAUUUAACAAGAGAGUAGCGCACUGGUGAGUAACACGUGGGAACGUACCUUUUGGUGGGGGACAACAUCUGGAAACGGAUGCUAAUACCGCAUAAGACCUGAGGGUGAAAGAUUUAUCGCCGAAAGAACGGCCCGCGGAAGAUUAGGCAGUUGGUGGGGUAAAGGCCUACCAAACCUACGAUCUAUAGCUGGUCUGAGAGGACGAUCAGCCACACUGGAACUGAGACACGGUCCAGACUCCUACGGGAGGCAGCAGUGAGGAAUAUUGGGCAAUGGAGGCAACUCUGACCCAGCCAUGCCGCGUGAGUGAAGAAGGUUUUCGGAUUGUAAAGCUCUUUCGGAUGUGACGAUGAUGACGGUAGCAUCUAAAGAAGCCCCGGCAAACUUCGUGCCAGCAGCCGCGGUAAUACGAAGGGGGCGAGCGUUGUUCGGAAUUACUGGGCGUAAAGGGUGUGUAGGCGGUUAUGUAAGAUAGCGGUGAAAUCCCGGGGCUUAACCUCGGAAUAGCCGUUAUAACUAUGUAGCUAGAGUUAUGGAGAGGAUAGCGGAAUACCCAGUGUAGAGGUGAAAUUCGUAGAUAUUGGGUAGAACACCGGUGGCGAAGGCGGCUAUCUGGCCAUAUACUGACGCUGAGGCACGAAAGCAUGGGGAUCAAACAGGAUUAGAUACCCUGGUAGUCCAUGCUGUAAACGAUGAAUGCUGGUUGUCGGCUUUAGGGUCGGUGACGAAGUUAACGCGAUAAGCAUUCCGCCUGGGGAGUACGGUCGCAAGAUUAAAACUCAAAGGAAUUGACGGGGACCCGCACAAGCGGUGGAGCAUGUGGUUUAAUU
rnacentral:rRNA from 1 species